rnacentral:rRNA from 1 species
GUCUCUGGCCAUGCCAUCCUGAACAAGCCCAAUCUCAUCUGAUCUCGGAAGCUAAGCAGGAUCCAGCCUGGUUAGUACUUGGAUGGGAGACCACCUAGGAAGACAAGGUGCUGUACGCA